GAGUGAGAGUGAGUUUUUUUUUUUUUUUUUUUUUUUUUUUUUUUUUUUAUGUUUUUUUUUUUUUUUUUUUUUUUUUUUUUUUUUUUUAUGUUUUUUUUUUUUUUUUUUUUUUUUUUUUUUU